GCAGCUUCCCCUGCAUUCCCAAUUCCAUUUUUGAAACUGUAACACUCUUGCUCGUGCUCUGCUUCCUGAUUUUAUUUCUCUACUAUAUUUUAAUUCUGAAUACAAUAGUGUAUGUUCAUGUUUUGUAUUGUUGUCGCCAUCGUCAAUCUGGAUCCUAGUCGUCCCCGUCGUUCAUGCCCCUUCCUGCCCCUGUUUCUCUACUGCUAUUAUUUGGAGUACCAGCGUUGAUGCUAUUAUGAAUCUGUUAGAGUUGCUAUUGGGCUGUGAUUGCUCUUAAUUUCCAUCCAAUUUGAAUCCUGUGUUUGGUUACAACCCCGGUCACUGCCGUGAAGAUUAACAAUGCUGUUGUUCCGGUUGCUGCCUUGCCAUUCUGGUUGCGUGACAGUCACUGCUGCUGCCAUGAAACUAAAAGGGAAGGGAAUUGUUACGUUAAAUUAUGCAAUUGCGACAUCGAGCGACAGGUUUGAAGACACAAUUUGAAGCUGCGAGCGAUCAGUAGGCUUUCUUU